GUUAUUAUGUCAGCCCAGAGGCGAAUGUUGGUAGGAUGGCAGUAGAGGUGGAAUCUUCCCACCAAUAUUUUCUUUCAUUCUGGUGCCAUGUGACAGAUGGCAGAAGAGGGGCAAUGUGACAAAAUGGUAUCUGACAUGGGAGUGCAUAAGAAGCAAUGGUGUGGAAGUGAAUGCCUCCAUGCAGAAAAAAGGGCACCAGCUGAUAUUCAUGGACACUCGCUGAGCGCUUAUGGAGACCAAACAGUGGAUACAAACAGCCCAUAUCUGGUUAUCCAUCCCAAAGUCACCAGUGCUUAAGCAAGUGGCUGUCAGGUACUAAAUCAUCAGAGGAGCAGGAAAAGCUUUUGGGGAUACCUGAUCCCUUCUGCAGCCCAGAUAUUACUGUUGUGCUUUGCAAUGGUUGUGAGCAUGCUCGAGGUUUUCAGAUCUCUGCAAAAGGCAAGCUUCAUGACUCAUGCAAGACCAACAUGAAACAGGCUAUACUCAGAGAGAUCAUCCAGAACUAAAGAGAGUUGCCCAGAAGAGAAGAGAUGUGGCUGUUCCUUCCCUGCAGGAAGGCCCAAAUGAGAGCCACUUGAGGUGCAGCCCAGGUGCCUAGUCUGCGUAGGGAGCAGCUGCCAGUGGGUCCAGAAGCUGGCACACAGACAGUGGAACCCACUGGGCCCCAGCCCAUCAGACACCCCAAGAAAGUCACCACUCGAGCCCAUGGCAGUGCUGCUCCAACCCUACCAGACUCUACUGCAGCAGUAGGAAGGGAACGGUGCCAUCUGCCAGCCACAUCCCUGUCACCAAGCAGCAGCCAGACCUUGGAUGUCACUUCUGCUCCUCCAACUUACAACGCUCUGCCCUUCAUGGCACACGGGUUACACCUGGCCCACCACGACAGGAGCUUCUCUGAAACCCAAAAGUACCAGAGCUGCAGACUCCUCGGACUGCCAUGUCAUACUGUAGCCCAUCCUUUGCAAUGGCCAUGAUGGCAGCAGCCAUGCUGACACCACACAACUGGUGGCCCCAGGCAGCCCAGCACUGCCCAACAUGCAGCUGCAGUUCUCACAG
ensembl:lncRNA